rnacentral:rRNA from 1 species
GAUGAACGCUAGCGGCAGGCCUAACACAUGCAAGUCGAGGGGCAGCACAGAAACAGCAAUGUUUUGGUGGCGACCGGCGGACGGGUGCGUAACGCGUAUGCAACCUACCUUUAACAGGGGGAUAACGGAGAGAAAUUUCCACUAAUACCCCAUAACAUCGAUCAAGGCAUCUUGAUUGGUUGAAAACUCCGGUGGUUAAAGAUGGGCAUGCGUUGUAUUAGGUAGUUGGUGAGGUAAUGGCUCACCAAGCCUACGAUACAUAGGGGGACUGAGAGGUUAGCCCCCCACACUGGUACUGAGACACGGACCAGACUCCUACGGGAGGCAGCAGUGAGGAAUAUUGGUCAAUGGGCGGAAGCCUGAACCAGCCAUGCCGCGUGCAGGAUGACGGCUCUAUGAGUUGUAAACUGCUUUUGUACGAGGGUAAAGUGGGCUACGUGUAGCCUUUUGAAAGUAUCGUACGAAUAAGGAUCGGCUAACUCCGUGCCAGCCGCCGCGGUAA